CUUUGUUUACAAACAGAGGGUGGAUGAGCUAUGAUACGGUACCGUGUCUUUUGUUGACUGCCUAUCAUGAAACGUCCCACCUAAAUUUAUUCUUUAUCUUUUUAAAGUGAUCAAUUAGAUGACCUACACCCUUUAUAUGUCAGUAAAUGUGAUAAAUAAGGUAACCUACACCCCUUGUAUGUCAGUAAAUGUGAUAAAUGAGACAACCUACACCCCUUGUAUGUCAGUAAAUGUGAUAAAUGAGGUAACCUACACCCCUUGUAUAUCAGUAAAUGUGAUAAAUGAGGUAACCUACACCCCUUGUAUGUCAGUAAAUGUGAUAAAUGAGGUAACCUACACCCCUUGUAUGUCAGUAAAUGUGAUAAAUGAGGUAACCUACACCCCUUGUAUGUCAGUAAAUGUGAUAAAUGAGGUAACCUACACCCCUUGUAUGUCAGUAAAUGUGAUAAAUGAGACAACCUACACCCCUUGUAUGUCAGUAAAUGUGAUAAAUGAGACAACCUACACCCCUUGUAUGUCAGUAAAUGUGAUAAAUGAGACAACCUACACCCCUUGUAUGUCAGUAAAUGUGAUAAAUGAGACAACCUACACCCCUUGUAUGUCAGUAAAUGUGAUAAAUGAGGUAACCUACACCCCUUGUAUGUCAGUAAAUGUGAUA